rnacentral:lncRNA from 1 species
UCAGCGAUUUGGAUCUGAGUGAAGUCAUCGGUUGGCUGGCUGCCGGGGCGGCAUGCUACUUGGCGUCGUGGUCUCGAUGUUGUGGUGGUCGCCGGGUAGUUGGGGCGGCGUGGUGUGCGGCGUCUGCCUAGGUCUUGGGCGGCGUCAUGCGGGGUCGUUGCGGCGGAGCUGUGGCGAGUGAUUGUGGCGGUUCUCAAGUGUGUGUCCGUGCUUGUGCUGCUACGUGAACACGUUGCUUGCCGUUUGGAUUGAAUUUUGGUUGGGUGUGAGUGCACGGGUUGAGGUGAGCAACCCCAGAUCUGACUCUAUCUCUGUUCCAAAUUUCCAAUCUACAUACUACGUUUCACUUUGCCAUGCUCUUCCUAAAUUGUCUUCUCUUCCCAAAUCGCUAGUUUGGCCUGAGGAUUAUUUUCUGGUUCGCAAAAAAAAAAGAGGUUGAGCAAUCUGCCAGAAUAGGUUUACGUAGAGCUCCUGAGUCCUGUGCUUUGAUGAACUCUCCUCCUCUUUUUUUAUCUGUAAUUGUAGUUCAAGAGUGUUUUCUCUCAAUCAUUAUAACUUGUUAUUUUGAGAAGUGACUCUGUUCUGGAGAUAACUUCACAUAAUUCUGUUGCUUUCUAGUCAAUUGAAAAAACAUGAUGUUCAAUGUUCCUCUUGAGAUCAUUGCAAUAGCUAGGAGUUCUGAUGCGAUGUUUCCUUUUGUUUCUUAGGUUCCUUUUACUAUUUUUCUAUUUGAUCGUUGUUACUUGGUGCGUGUGUUGGGUGUCUUUCCUAGGUUAUUAGUUGUGUUUUGCUACGUGGGGAUUUUUGCAGCUUCGAUGCACUUGGUAUGUUAUCUUCAGGAGUUCCUUUAAGAACCGGUACCCAGUGAACUAUCUUUGCUUCUUAUGACACAAGGCUUGAGCCUCUUUUGUCGAAAGAUGUUAUUUAGACUUUACUGUGUAAGCUUACCUAUGUUUUCAUUCUUGCAUUUAAGACUCUGUAACUCCAUUAAGACUCCAUUUUCUUAGGAACGAUGUCGUUAUGAUGCUUCCAAAUGCACCAGCAAAAGAGCAUGAAGAACGUUGACCGCGGGUGAGCGACAUCUAGCAGAUUGCGGACAGAGGCCACUACUGAAGGUGGCUGGAACCACAACGUGGCCCCGAAAUCAACCAAUAACGGGCAGACAAAGAAGAGGUGACUCGCCAAUAACAGUGUGGCGGACUGGGUAGGCAACUAUUACACGUUCUAAAAUUGAGGUUUAGAGCAAUGAAAAAGGUGAUUUUGUUCCUGAAUCGUGCUUAACAUUUAUUUAGCAAUCAAGCACUAGCAGCCCGGUUUGAGAUGUGCUUCUUGUUGGUUCAUGUAGACAUGCCAACAAAGGCCUGAUAAAGAAAAAUAGAAAAAAAAUACAGUAGAUUGGUUUGAUUGUUCUCUUGUGUAGACCAAAAUUUGCGAGCAAAAGAAAUUGGAUUUUGGUUCCAACUGUUCAAUAGCUCUAAAAGGCAUAGAGUCAACCAGUCAGGCUUUGACCAGAUGUCGAACGUCUUCAGAACCUUGAUU